AAACCGGCUCUUUUCAGAGCCACACACUUCCUGCAAUAAGUUGUGU
rfam:Stegodyphus mimosarum contig58546, whole genome shotgun sequence.